rnacentral:rRNA from 1 species
CCUACGGGAGGCAGCAGUAGGGAAUUUUCGGCAAUGGGGGGAACCCUGACCGAGCAACGCCGCGUGAACGAAGAAGUUCUUCGUAAUGUAAAGUUCUUUUAACAGGGAAGAAAGAGAACUUUGACGGUACCUGAAGAAUAAGCUCCGGCUAACUACGUACCAGCAGCCGCGGUAAUACGUAGGGAGCGAGCGGUAGCCGGAAUUCUUGGGCGUAAGGGGUGCGUAGAUGGCAUAGUAAGUCUUUUGUAAAAAUGCGGGGCUCAACCCAGUCGUGCAAAAGAUACUGCAAAGCUAGAGUAUGACAGAGGCAAGUGGAACUACACGUGUAGCGGUAAAAUGCGUAAAUAUAUGGAAGAACACCAGUGGCGAAGGCGGCUUGCUGGGUCGAUACUGACAUUGAGGCACGAAAGCGUGGGGAGCAAACAGGAUUAGAUACCCGAGUAGUC